CGGCUCAGUAACACGUGGAUAACCUACCCUUGAGACGGGGAUAAACCCGGGAAACUGGGUAUAAUACCCGAUAGAUCUCGACUGCUGGAAUGCAUCGAGCUUGAAAGCUCCGGCGCUCAAGGAUGGGUCUGCGGCCUAUCAGGUAGUAGUGGGUGUAGCGUACCUACUAGCCUACGACGGGUACGGGUUGUGAGAGCAAGAGCCCGGAGAUGGAUUCUGAGACACGAAUCCAGGCCCUACGGGGUGCAGCAGGCGCGAAAACUUUACAAUGCUGGAAACAGCGAUAAGGGGACCUCGAGUGCCAGGUUACAAAUCUGGCUGUCGUGAUGCCUAAAAAGCAUUGCAUAGCAAGGGCCGGGCAAGACCGGUGCCAGCCGCCGCGGUAACACCGGCGGCUCGAGUGGUAACCGUUAUUAUUGGGUCUAAAGGGUCUGUAGCCGGCCGGAUAAGUCUCUUGGGAAAUCUGGCAGCUUAACUGUCAGGCUUUCAGGAGAUACUGUCUGGCUCGAGGCCGGGAGAGGUGAGAGGUACUUCAGGGGUAGGGGUGAAAUCUUGUAAUCCUUGAAGGACCACCAGUGGCGAAGGCGUCUCACCAGAACGGACCUGACGGCAAGGGACGAAAGCUAGGGGCACGAACCGGAUUAGAUACCCGGGUAGUCCUA
rnacentral:rRNA from 1 species